AUUGAACGCUGGCGGCAGGCCUAACACAUGCAAGUCGAGCGGAUGAAGGGAGCUUGCUCCUGGAUUCAGCGGCGGACGGGUGAGUAAUGCCUAGGAAUCUGCCUUGUAUUGGGGGAUAACGUCCGGAAACGGGCGCUAAUACCGCAUACGUCGUGAGGGAGAAAGUGGGGGAUCUUCGGACCUCUCGCUAUCAGAUUAGGCUAGGUCGGAUUAGCUAGUUGGUGGGGUAAAGGCCUACCAAGGCGACGAUCCGUAACUGGUCUGAGAGGAUGAUCAGUCACACGGGAACUGAGACACGGUCCCGACUCCUAGAGGGAGCCGCAGUGCGGACUCUUAGACGAUGGGCGAAAGCGUGAUCCAGGCAUGCCGCGUGUGUGAAGAAGGUCUUAGGAUUGUAAAGCGAUUUAAGUUGUGAGGAAGGGAAGUAAGUUAAUCCCUUGCUGUUUUGACGUUACCAACAGAAUAAGCACCGGCUAACUUCGUG
rnacentral:rRNA from 1 species